rnacentral:misc_RNA from 1 species
UACUAAUCUAGAAUACUAACUCUGGUUAGUAACAAGUUCUGCGACUCAACGAAACUAGUUGAAAUAAUUAGAGGUCGGUAAUUUCGUAUCUUCAAAUUGUGCUUUAAGGCGUGAUACUUGUUCCGAUUUCUUAGAAAAUUAUAAAUGAUCGAUUUCAGAAUCAGAGAAGGAGAACAAGGGUGGCGUGGAACUACUUAUGACCCAAUCAUCGUCGUUCUGCUGCGGAGAAGAUUCGAAUUUGCUGGUAGAGCUUCGUUUUGAAAUGCAUCCUGUUACCCUCUGUGCCUGUUGUUUUAUCAGCGUGAACGCGAUGAUUGAGGUAUAUUACGAGCCC